AGCAACAAAUGCCCUGCUUCCAGGAAAAGCCUCUAAGCAUCAGGUAACAUCAAAUCGUACCCCAAACCGACACAGGUGGUCAGGUAGAGAAUACCAAGGCGCUUGAGAGAACUCGGGUGAAGGAACUAGGCAAAAUGGUGCCGUAACUUCGGGAGAAGGCACGCUGACACGUAGGUGAAGUGAUUUACUCAUGGAGCUGAAGUCAGUCGAAGAUACCAGCUGGCUGCAACUGUUUAUUAAAAACACAGCACUGUGCAAACACGAAAGUGGACGUAUACGGUGUGACGCCUGCCCGGUGCCGGAAGGUUAAUUGAUGGGGUCAGCGCAAGCGAAGCUCCUGAUCGAAGCCCCGGUAAACGGCGGCCGUAACUAUAACGGUCCUAAGGUAGCGAAAUUCCUUGUCGGGUAAGUUCCGACCUGCACGAAUGGCGUAAUGAUGGCCAGGCUGUCUCCACCCGAGACUCAGUGAAAUUGAACUCGCUGUGAAGAUGCAGUGUACCCGCGGCAAGACGGAAAGACCCCGUGAACCUUUACUAUAGCUUGACACUGAACAUUGAGCCUUGAUGUGUAGGAUAGGUGGGAGGCUUUGAAGUGUGGACGCCAGUCUGCAUGGAGCCAACCUUGAAAUACCACCCUUUAAUGUUUGAUGUUCUAACGUGGACCCGUUACCCGGGUUGCGGACAGUGUCUGGUGGGUAGUUUGACUGGGGCGGUCUCCUCCUAAAGAGUAACGGAGGAGCACGAAGGUUGGCUAAUCCUGGUCGGACAUCAGGAGGUUAGUGCAAUGGCAUAAGCCAGCUUGACUGCGAGCGUGACGGCGCGAGCAGGUGCGAAAGCAGGUCAUAGUGAUCCGGUGGUUCUGAAUGGAAGGGCCAUCGCUCAACGGAUAAAAGGUACUCCGGGGAUAACAGGCUGAUACCGCCCAAGAGUUCAUAUCGACGGCGGUGUUUGGCACCUCGAUGUCGGCUCAUCACAUCCUGGGGCUGAAGUAGGUCCCAAGGGUAUGGCUGUUCGCCAUUUAAAGUGGUACGCGAGCUGGGUUUAGAACGUCGUGAGACAGUUCGGUCCCUAUCUGCCGUGGGCGCUGGAGAACUGAGGGGGGCUGCUCCUAGUACGAGAGGACCGGAGUGGACGCAUCACUGGUGUUCGGGUUGUCAUGCCAAUGGCACUGCCCGGUAGCUAAAUGCGGAAGAGAUAAGUGCUGAAAGCAUCUAAGCACGAAACUUGCCCCGAGAUGAGUUCUCCCUGAGACUUAGAGUCUCCUGAAGGAACGUUGAAGACGACGACGUUGAUAGGCCGGGUGUGUAAGCGCAGCGAUGCGUUGAGCUAACCGGUACUAAUGAACCGUGAGGCUUAACCUUACA
rnacentral:rRNA from 1 species